UCUCAGUCUCGAGGUUUCGCUGCUUUCCAGGAUUCCAGCCCCUGCCCUUUCACCUCCGAAACGCGGCGGAGGGCAUCUGUUUCGGCGUCUUCCCCCCCAAAAACAGGUCGACUCACCAAGAAGUGCAGGUGCUCGGGAAGGGGGUGGCGCGGCCGAUGUGAGGGGAGUCCCGGGGAAGGCAAGUUCUUCUCGGCGUUUGACUGCGGUCAAAAAAAAAGCGACUGGUCGACCGUCAAACCACUCGACAAGCAGUGCGCACACAAAUGCAUUCCAGUAUACGCUCCAGCGACAACUGGAAAGGCUGUAGCUCUUUGGGCGGCGAAGGAGGUGACCUUGACCGGCUGCGGUUGCGAGUGUGUUUGUGUUUCUCACUUCAAGCCACGGGUGUUCAUCGCGUUCUUUGCUGAUGCCUCUCGGCUGCUCCAGGCUGCCCCAGCUUUGCAUCACAUUUCCUCGUCAGGUUGGGUCUCCUGUCUUUCUGCAAGUUGCGCACACAAAGGACGCGCUCACAAACGAACCGGGCACCCAUGAGACAGACACUGCCUUCAGCUUCGCUGGACAGCUGCCUCUUUAGAUCGUACAUGAACGGUAUUUUCUAGCAUAUUAUGUGGUGUCAAAAGUGAUUCCGGCAAUGUCUGGAACAGCAACCCAGGAAGUCAGUCCGUUUGCUUUGUGUACAUCCAAAGUCUGCUGUCAGCAGACAAUGUGGCGGAGGUGCCUGCUACCGCAGAAGUCGAGACCACUGCACACUGUGCAUUAGUGUGACAGGGAUGAUCAGGGCAGUCUGGGAUUUUUCUUGGUAGAAUUUGGAGAUAGAUAUUUGCGUGGAUCCAUCCGAGCACGGCAGAACCCUCGAAAAGUGCCCGGAUCUCCCGAGACAGGAGGGGUGGAGUCCCUCCUGCCUGGCCGAUGCUCACUCUCCACCACUUUUCCAGAACGCGGCGUUCGAGUCACUCGCGUGCAUGUUUUUUUCGCUCGAGAAGCCGUUCAUGGAUGGAAGGUGCGCUUGCGUGUGGAGCCAGUGUUGAAUUGUAUUGAUGUGACAAAGUACACGGCGUGUGUGUGAAUGAACUUUUCGGAACCACUGGCAGCGCGGAAGAGAAUGCUCC
rnacentral:lncRNA from 1 species